CAGUUUUUAAAAAAUGGGCAAGACUGGGGCGGAGAGUUCACAAAGACCAGACAUCCAAGUGGCCCGCGGACACGGAGCAGGCGCACCAGUUCAAGCCCUCGGGGCAAACACAAGUUCACGGAGACCUGGGUCACUCCAGAGCAGCUGAAAUCAGAGAAAGUGCCUGUUGCUGAUUGGGAGGGAGAGGAGCUCUUGCGCCUCUGGCGAGUGCACUCGUGAGCAGGACCCGGGGCUCUGCAUGCCCGGCCCUGGGGAGCAGCCAUCAGGAAAGCUGACAUGGCACGGGUAACCUGGGACUGCUGAUGGCGGUGCCACUGGUGGCUGCCACCUGGGAACAGCCAGGGGCCAUGCACAGGACAGAGACGGCGGUCACAGCUGGUGCGUGAGCCGCAGAAAUGCACAGGGGCGCCUGGCGGCACACACCAGGGCGCACACGCGUCACUGCACUCUUGGGACGUUUUAGAACAGACCGAAUCUUCGACUGUGACAGAGGCCAGCGGACAGGUGGCCCUUUCCAUCUUCUGAUCACUGUGCCGGCCACAUGAUGGGCCCAUUUCUCAAGUGUUCCUGGUGAAGAUGGGUGUAGGCUGACUUCAGGACCAGUGUGGUUCAUGGAGCCUUGGGGUGUGGGGAUGGCAGGGAAAGGAAUCAUUAACUGUGAGGGGCAUCGGGGUCACCUGCCAAGAUGGGAAGGCUGUGGUGGGCGGGCAGCCAGGCGAGGAGAGAGGACAAGCCGGGUCGGCCAGAGCUGGGGGUAUCUGAGGGGCAGUGGCGGGAGAAGGGUGUGCCCGGACCCAAUGGGGCUCUAGGGGUGACAAAGGAGGUUGGUUUAAUGGUAUUGGACGCUUUAAAGGGACCUCAUGCAUGAGUGCGAGACAGAGACCCAGAUGCAGUUUCAGGAAGGCCGCCUGGGGGUCGUGUGGAGAAUGGACUCAGGAGGGAGAGGGCAGAGCGGGGAGUCCAGGUGAGAAGGGGAGGUCUGGGUGUGACAGCAGUGGGAGGCUGACUGAGAGGGAUUCAAAUUCUAUCCCGGGGACAGAGAGCAUGUCCUGCUUCAUCUCCAGGACACGUUUCCUGCCUGAUCCCACACCUGCCCUGCGGGAAAGCCACCAUCACGCUCAGUACUGAGGAUCUGGGAGGAAGAAGUGGAAGCUGAGAGGCAGAGUGGGCUCAAAGGGCAGACUCGGUGCCCCAGUCUGGGUCUAGCUCCGCUGGUGCACAGAUACCGGAAGAAGCCGCUGGGGUCCUCGGAGAGCCUACCUAAGAGCCCCAGGCCGGCCUUACACAGCGCGGGGGCUUGGGACAUCAGGUCUCCGGGCUGCGAGACCGCGGCGGUCCCGGAUCCACUCCUCCGACCUCUGCU